UACAGAGGGGGGCAAGCGUUGUUCGGAAUUACUGGGCGUAAAGGGCGCGUAGGCGGCCUUCUAAGUCGAACGUGAAAUCCCUGGGCUCAACCCAGGAACUGCGUCCGAUACUGGAAGGCUUGAAUCCGGGAGAGGGAUGCGGAAUUCCAGGUGUAGCGGUGAAAAUGCGUAGAUAUCUGGAGGAACACCGGUGGCGAAGGCGGCAUCCUGGACCGGUAUUGACGCUGAGGCGCGAAAAGCCAGGGGGAGCAAAACGGG
rnacentral:rRNA from 1 species